AUGAUAACUUAUAACAGAUUUCCUCCUGGUGUCGAUUCACAGGAAUGUGUCACACAAUUGAAUAUGAGGCAACUGCUAUCAGUUGGAAUGGAUGGCCCCAAUGUGAAUUUCAAGUUGGUGGAUCUACUCCAGAAAGAACAUGCAGAGCUCUAUGGAGGUGCCCAGGUUGUCACUGUUGGAAGCUGUGGACUUCAAACCGUCCACAAUGCUUUAAAGGCAGGCUUUACUAUGUGGCAGUUGGAAAAACUUCUGCGAGCCAUGCCCUUCCUCUUUCAUAAUGUGCCUGCCAGGAGAGAAGAUUUCACUAGGGUGACGGGGUCCUCCUGCUUUCCCAUACCAUUUUGUGGCCAUAGAUGGGUGGAAAACGUUCCUGUGGCGGAAAGGGCAGUUGAAGUUUGGCCAGUGCUGAAGACGUAUGUGGAUGCUGCAGAGAAAAAGAAGGUUCCAGUCCCCUGCACAGCUUCAUAUGACACCAUAGUAGCUGCACAAAAGGAUCCUUUCAUUAUUGCAAAACUCCAGUUUUUUUUGGCAAUUGCAAGAACUUUCAACCCCUUCUUGACAAAGUUCCAAACUGAUGAGCCAGUGUUGCCCUUCUUGGCCAAAGAUUUGACUGAGCUGCUGAUGAGUUUACUGAGGCGGUUCGUUCAACGAGAGCUCACCCAGGACCUCACACCCCUGCAGCUGAUCAAAAUAGAUCUAACAGAUGAAAAGAACUUGGUCUCCCCAAAGAGUGUAGACAUAGGCCUGGGAGCAGAAUCUGCUAUCAAGGAACUUCAGAGCAAACCAGGAUUCAAGGUUGGUGAGCUUUCUGUGCUCACCUUCAGGCGAGAAUGUUUGCAGGGCCUGAUUAAGGUUGUUGUGAAGCUACAGGAGAAAAGCCCCCUGAAAUUCCAAGUGGUCAGGCAGAUUGCAUGCUUGGACCCUUCAAGAAUGCACAGAGAUCCCGAUUGGUGCAUCAGACAGAUGAAAGGAAUAGUGCAAACAUUCCUCCAGGGCAAACAUUUGGCAGGUGGCAUCCCAGCUGGUGAUGUAAUCAUUCAGCAGUUUACAUCAUUGCUGUCUCUUGAGGGCAGAGAUGAACAAUUCCGCUCUUUCCAGCCUUUCAAGCAACGUGUGGAUGUGUUUCUACACUUGACCCUCAGCCCAUCCUACAUGGACCUGUUGAGAUUCUGCCAGAGCGUUUUACUUCUUUCACAUGGACAAGCCACCGUGGAGAGGGGCUUCUCCAUUAACAAGAAGGUGGAAACCUGUAACCUUCUUGGUGAAUCCUUGGAGGCACUGAGGUUAAUCUGUGACAAUGUCAGUAGCUGUGGUGGUGUCCUCAAGGUGCCUUUAACCAAGGACCUGCUGGCUUCUGUGGCCUCAGCAAGGUCCCAGUACAGGCUCUACCUGGAGCAAGAGCGUAAAAAGAGGGAGAGUGAUGCCGAGGAGGCAGAGGGGAAAGCUGGGUCAAAAAUGGCCCAGCUAAUCACCAAAUCAAACACACUUAGAAGGAGACACAAGGAGAAAAAAGAGGAACUGGUCAAAAUGGACAAAACUAUUGAGGAAAAGGCCAUGGAAUUAAGGCACUUGCCAUAGGAUUUUAUGCCCACAAGUUCAUAUUAGGCCUAUAGCACAAGUGCAAACAAUAGUUCACCAGUUCAUAGAAGAUGCCAGUUUGUGAAUCCGCAACAGUUCAUAGAAUCCGCAACAGUUCAUAGAAGAUGCCCGUUUGUAAUGCAUCAACUUGCAAUGAAUGCCAGCCAGUGUGCUGGAACUAUCCAUUCUCUCCAUUGCACAUUUUAUGUAGUUUGUUUUAUUUUUAUUUACUAAGUGAAAUAAAUGUGCAAUAUGUUGUCA
ensembl:lncRNA